UGGGGAAUAUUGCGCAAUGGGCGAAAGCCUGACGCAGCCACGCCGCGUGAGUGAAGAAGGCCUUCGGGUUGUAAAGCUCUGUCGGGAGGAACGAAACCCCGGUCGGCCAAUACCCGACCGGAUUGACGGUACCUCGCAAGAAAGCACCGGCUAACUCCGUGCCAGCAGCCGCGGUAAUACGGAGGGUGCAAGCGUUGUUCGGAAUCACUGGGCGUAAAGCGUGCGUAGGCGGCCGGAUAAGUCGGAUGUGAAAGCCCGGGGCUCAACCCCGGAACUGCAUUCGAUACUGUUCGGCUUGAGUAUGGGAGAGGGAAGCGGAAUUCCUGGUGUAGCGGUGAAAUGCGUAGAUAUCAGGAGGAACACCCGUGGCGAAAGCGGCUUCCUGGCCCAUUACUGACGCUGAGGUACGAAAGCGUGGGUAGCAAACAGG
rnacentral:rRNA from 1 species